rnacentral:rRNA from 1 species
UGCCAGCCGCCGCGGUAAUACGGAGGGUGCAAGCGUUGUUCGGAAUUAUUGGGCGUAAAGCGCGUGUAGGCGGUUCGUUAAGUCUGAUGUGAAAGCCCGGGGCUCAACCGUGGAAGUGCAUUUGAAACUGGAUGGCUUGAGUACUGGAGGGGGUGGUGGAAUUCCCGGUGUAGAGGUGAAAUUCGUAGAUAUCGGGAGGAAUACCGGUGGCGAAGGCGACCACCUGGCCAGAUACUGACGCUGAGGGAUGAAAGCUGGGGGAGCAAACCGGAUUAGAUA